rnacentral:rRNA from 1 species
GAUGAACGCUGGCGGCGUGCUUAACACAUGCAAGUCGAACGGUGAAGGAGGAGCUUGCUCUUCUGGAUCAGUGGCGAACGGGUGAGUAACACGUGAGCAAUCUGCCCUUGACUCUGGGAUAACAGUUGGAAACAGCUGCUAAUACCGGAUACGAGACGUGACCGCAUGGUCAACGUCUGGAAAGAACUUCGGUCAAGGAUGAGCUCACGGCCUAUCAGCUAGUUGGUGAGGUAAUGGCUCACCAAGGCGACGACGGGUAGCCGGCCUGAGAGGGUGACCGGCCACACUGGGACUGAGACACGGCCCAGACUCCUACGGGAGGCAGCAGGUGGGGAAUAUUGCACAAUGGGCGAAAGCCUGAUGCAGCAACGCCGCGUGAGGGACGACGGCCUUCGGGUUGUAAACCUCUUUUAGCAAGGAAGAAGCGAAAGUGACGGUACUUGCAGAAAAAGCGCCGGCUAACUACGUG